UCAAGAUCGUUCUCGUUGGUGACCAGCGGAGGGACAUUACCGAGUUUACAACUCCCAAACCCCUGUGAACAUACCUUAAUGUUGCCUCGGCGGAUCAGCCCGCGCCCCGUAAAACGGGACGGCCCGCCAGAGGACCCAAACUCUAAUGUUUCUUAUUGUAACUUCUGAGUAAAACAAACAAAUAAAUCAAAACUUUCAACAACGGAUCUCUUGGUUCUGGCAUCGAUGAAGAACGCAGCAAAAUGCGAUAAGUAAUGUGAAUUGCAGAAUUCAGUGAAUCAUCGAAUCUUUGAACGCACAUUGCGCCCGCUGGUAUUCCGGCGGGCAUGCCUGUUCGAGCGUCAUUUCAACCCUCAAGCCCCCGGGUUUGGUGUUGGGGAUCGGCUCUGCCUUCUGGCGGUGCCGCCCCCGAAAUACAUUGGCGGUCUCGCUGCAGCCUCCAUUGCGUAGUAGCUAACACCUCGCAACUGGAACGCGGCGCGGCCAUGCCGUAAAACCCCAACUUCUGAAUGUUGACCUCGGAUCAGGUAGGAAUACCCGCUGAACUUAAGCAUAUCAAUAAGCGGAGGAA
rnacentral:rRNA from 1 species